rnacentral:rRNA from 1 species
GCUUACACAUGCAAGUCGAGCGGAAACGAUGAUAGCUUGCUAUCAGGCGUCGAGCGGCGGACGGGUGAGUAAUACUUAGGAAUCUACCUAGUAGUGGGGGAUAGCACGGGGAAACUCGUAUUAAUACCGCAUACGACCUACGGGAGAAAGGGGGCAGUUUACUGCUCUCGCUAUUAGAUGAGCCUAAGUCGGAUUAGCUAGAUGGUGGGGUAAAGGCCUACCAUGGCGACGAUCUGUAGCUGGUCUGAGAGGAUGAUCAGCCACACCGGGACUGAGACACGGCCCGGACUCCUACGGGAGGCAGCAGUGGGGAAUAUUGGACAAUGGGGGAAACCCUGAUCCAGCCAUGCCGCGUGUGUGAAGAAGGCCUUUUGGUUGUAAAGCACUUUAAGCAGUGAAGAAGACUCCGUGGUUAAUACCCACGGACGAUGACAUUAGCUGCAGAAUAAGCACCGGCUAACUCUGUGCCAGCAGCCGCGGUAAUACAGAGGGUGCAAGCGUUAAUCGGAAUUACUGGGCGUAAAGGGAGCGUAGGUGGCUCUAUAAGUCAGAUGUGAAAUCCCCGGGCUUAACCUGGGAACUGCAUCUGAAACUGUAGAGCUAGAGUAUGUGAGAGGAAGGUAGAAUUCCAGGUGUAGCGGUGAAAUGCGUAGAGAUCUGGAGGAAUACCGAUGGCGAAGGCAGCCUUCUGGCAUAAUACUGACACUGAGGCUCGAAAGCGUGGGUAGCAAACAGGAUUAGAUACCCUGGUAGUCCACGCCGUAAACGAUGUCUACUAGUCGUUGGGUCCCUUGAGGACUUAGUGACGCAGCUAACGCAAUAAGUAGACCGCCUGGGGAGUACGGCCGCAAGGUUAAAACUCAAAUGAAUUGACGGGGGCCCGCACAAGCGGUGGAGCAUGUGGUUUAAUUCGAUGCAACGCGAAGAACCUUACCUGGUCUUGACAUAUCUAGAAUCCUGCAGAGAUGCG